ACCAAUCACAGGACUUGUGGUGUUCACUUCUCUAUCAAAAGUUCGGUGCACCUCGAACUUUGACCCAGCCGGAAGUUAUUUGGUAUAGUACUACCUGGAAGCUUAGACGAACCGACACCCAUCCCUACCUAACCCACUAUCAUGGGUUGUCUAAACUGUCCACCUAAAUGCCCCAGAAUAUUUUGUUAUUAGAUUCGACAGAUAUGUUUGAUGUAGAGUGUAAUAUAUUGUUUGAAACAUUUUUUUUAUAUCCUCUAGUUUCAUCAGAUUUGGGAAUAUUUCGGGUGGCAAAGCCUACUAGGUACAUUGUACAUCUGUUCUUUGACGAUGAGAUGAUAUUCAUUCCGUGAUGGCUAUAAAGAAGGGUCGAGUGCGACGCUAUGUCAUCUAUUUCCUGUCUUUCAUCUACUUCUCUCUGUGGGGCUUCGCACUGUUCAACUACCGCAGUCACUGUGUGUUCACGAUGCCCAACACGUUGAUGCAGCUGCCGCAGAUAGACAACUUAAACGCUGGGAAGUGUCAGGUUGACUGGGAUGCCUUAGGUGAGGUUCGCAACACAUGACCUGAUUCUGCUGCCAGUGUGUACUGCUGCACACUGGUUCUUGAUGGCAAUGGAAGAAGAUUUUUAUUUAACGACGCACUCAACACAUUUCAUUUACGAUUAUAUAGCGUCAGACAUAUGGUUAAGGAUCAUACAGAUAUUGAGAAUGCUGAAUGCCUUGUGAAAGAUGUUUGCCCGACAUUCAUGCACCAUCACCACGUUCCAUACUGUUGGGAGUAUAUGAUGAAGAUACUGCUAGCUGCCAGGAACACAGACAACUGCGACUCAAAACUGUUUCUGUGCCCACAACCAAAAUGCUUGGAAUGGAAGGGUUGUGAUGGAUGUUUGAUGUGGGAGCAUUCGGUUUGCACGAUAACAACAGACAAGCACCCGUACUGUGGACUUUGUUUGCCAUUGCACUAUAAAAACUAAAUAUUUACCAUUCUUGAAUUUGACAUUUUCUGCAGUCAUAUUAAGUUUUAAUUUGCAUGCAUAUAUAGAUGCCAGCCAUUACGAAUUUGGCGGAAUCAUUACAAAUUUAAAGCAUAGAUUUCGUUAUUACCAUUGUCUUGUUAGAAAUUCCGAUUUUUAGAAAGAAAAUAGUAAUUUUGGGUAUUUGGUAUCGAAUCGUAUUUUGGAAGGAACAAAUAUUAACACCAGAGAAAUGGAACUUUUCCCCUCUCCACUGUGAACAAUCAUAGAUUGGUUUCCUGCCUUAGAAUAAACCAGUCUAGCAAUCGGUCUUCUGAACAGCCCCAAUGUUUGACAAUUGGUUAUGGCCUUGAACUUGACUUUACCAAAAUGUCGAAAAACGCACUCCUGAGCCAUCACUGAUUACAUUCCUAUUUUGGGAGGUGGGUGGGUGGGAUUCCGAUUUUUGAAGGCCUGGAUUCCGAUGACAUUCCAACUAGGGUUGGCAUCUAUGUGCAUACACAAUUACUUGAAGAUUUUUUGAAAGAAAUGUACAAAAUUAUUUAUUUGAUACAUAUAUUUAUCAUAUAAUAGCUAGCAUGUCCAGAAUUUUAUAACUUUACAAAUUAGAUGUAAAUUAAUUGGGAUCACGGCAAACGUUCUACGGUGACACUGCAUGCAUAAUUGUGACACUCCACAAUUGAUGUGUGCAUUCAUAGUUGUCAAACAAAACCAUUUCAAUAGUAACUUCACACUGAAAGCUGUCCAGCAUUCAGAAAACAAAAAACGUUAAGCACUACUAGUGCUACUAGUUUUUAAUGUAAGGACAUCCAAAAUGACAUCAUUCAAUUUUGAUGUCAUUUCCAUUCAAAAAGACACCGAAUCACAUUCUUACAUCAUUUGAAUAUCGAGUAAUGGCUGACUGGAAUUAAAGUUGUA